rnacentral:lncRNA from 1 species
UUAAAAUCAGAAAUUAAAAUGUGAGAAAAAAUGUGAGGCGUUGGAUGAUGGCUCAUUAAUUGAGCUGGCGCAUCAGACGGAUCAUACGCGCGCGUCCACCAAACACACUAGUCAAUGCAAUCACACCUAGCCAUUAAUUAGGUCAUAACAUUGAACGGAUCAGGUCAAAUCUGGAAAUGGAAAUGCACGGCUGUGAUUUAAUCUGGAGACCAGACGGUGGCCAACGCCAC